rnacentral:rRNA from 1 species
UACGAAGGGUGCAAGCGUUACUCGGAAUUACUGGGCGUAAAGCGUGCGUAGGUGGUUCGUUAAGUCUGUCGUGAAAGCCCCGGGCUCAACCUGGGAAUGGCGAUGGAUACUGGCGAGCUAGAGUGCGGAAGAGGAGAGUGGAAUUCCCGGUGAGCGGUGAAAUGCGCAGAUAUCGGGAAGAACACCCGUGGCGAAGGCGGCUCUCUGGGACGGUACUGACGCUGAGACGCGAAAGCGU